AGAGUUUGAUCCUGGCUCAGAACGAACGCUGGCGGCAGGCCUAACACAUGCAAGUCGAACGGCCCCUUCGGGGGCAGUGGCAGACGGGUGAGUAACGCGUGGGAACCUACCCAGGGGUUCGGAAUAACCCGGGGAAACUCGGGCUAAUACCGGAUACGUCCUUCGGGAGAAAGAUUUAUCGCCCCUGGAUGGGCCCGCGUCGGAUUAGCUAGUCGGUGGGGUAACGGCCCACCGAGGCGACGAUCCGUAGCUGGUCUAAGAGGAUGAUCAGCCACACUGGGACUGAGACACGGCCCAGACACCUACGGGUGGCAGC
rnacentral:rRNA from 1 species